rnacentral:precursor_RNA from 1 species
AUGAAAAGGGAGGAGAGGAUUUUAAAAAAAAAAGAAAAAAUAUAUAUAUAUGAACAAAAUUAGCUUGUAAAGAAGUAAUUAUAUAUAAUAUCAUAAAAUUUAUAUGUACAUUUAUCAGUUAUUAUAUACCAAUAUAUUAUAAUAUAAUAAAUUAUUAUUUAAAAAUAACUAAAAUGUUAUAUGUACUUUUAUUUAAGUAAUAAAAUAAUUAUGAGUUCAUAUAUGUAUAUCUAUCCAUAAUAUACAUAUAUAUAUAUAUAUAUAUAUAUUUCUUUUAAUUUUAUUUUCCUUCUUAUAUAAUAUAAAUAGACCAAUUCAUUUAAAUAUGUAUUUCAUAUGGAAAAUCAUAUUUCCUUGAAGUAAACAAUUCUUAAUACAUUUAAAUAUUUUGUUAAAGUAUUAAAAAAUAAUAAUCAAUGUUUAUAUCUGUUAAAUUAAAUGCUAUAUAUAUAAUAAUAUAAAUAAGCAAUGUUGCUUUUUUUAUAUUAAAAAAAAAAAAAAACGUUUUUAAAUUAAAGUAUCACAAUAUGAAAAACAAAAAAAUAAUUAAUAAAAAUAAUAUAUAAUUUAAUUUUAUUAUUAUUUUUUAGAUUUCAAUUUGGAUAUAUUUAAAUUUAUUCAUAUAAAAUUAUAUAAAUAUGUAAAAAUAAUUUUAUGAAAUAUAUAAUAAUAACUUUGAAAUAUAAAACAUCAAUUGGCGUUGUCGUUUAUAGAUGAGAUAAUAUAUAAAUAAGAUAGAUUAUUAUAGUUAUCUUAUCCAUAUAUAAUAAUAUUCUUAAACUUUUUCAACAUGUAGAUAUAUUUAUAUUUAUACGUUUUUAUUAUUACACAUAUAAAUAUAUAUAAACUUAUUAUAUAUAUGGAACACAUAUAUUUUUAAAAUAUAAAAAUUAAAAAUCAAGGAAUAAUAAUUUUUUUUUUUGUGUGGUUGUCAAAUAUAAUAAUAUAAAUAAAAUAUACAUUCUGAGUUCUUCAUUUUGUAUAUAUAUAUUUAUUAUUCAUGACAUACAUAUAUGUAUAUAUAUAUAUAUAUAUAUAUACACACAAAAAAAUAAAUUCUUAUUAUUGUUUGUUUUUUUUUUUUUUUUAAUAUUAUAAAUAUAUAUAUGUUCCAUAUAUAUAUAUAAGUUUAUAUUAUAUAAUGUGAUAGUGUGUUUAAUCGUUAUAAUAUACAAUAUAUAUAGU